rnacentral:rRNA from 1 species
GACGAACGCUGGCGGCGUGCCUAAUACAUGCAAGUCGAACGAGUGGCGGACGGGUGAGUAACACGGGGGAACCUACCCAUCAGAGGGGGAUAACUAAUGGAAACGGUGGCUAAUAACGCAUACUAUCGGAUUAACCACUAUGGGAUUAGCUAGUAGGGGGGGUAAAGGCUCAACUAGGCGACGAUCUCUAGCUGGUCUGAGAGGAUUAUCAGCCACACUGGGACGUAGACACGGCCCAGACUCCUACGUGAGGCAGCAGUGGGGAAUAUUGCACAAUGGGCGCAAGCCUGAUGCAGCCAUGCCGCGUGUAUGAAGAAGGCCUUAGGGUUGUAAAGUACUUUCAGCGGGGAGGCGUUACCCGCAGAAGAAGCACCGGCUAACUCCGUGCCAGCAGCCGCGGUAAUAC